AGUGAACGCUGGCGGUAUGCCUAACACAUGCAAGUCGAACGGCAGCACAGUAAGAGCUUGCUCUUACUGUUGGCGAGUGGCGGACGGGUGAGGAAUGCAUCGGAAUCUACUUUUUCGUGGGGGAUAACGUAGGGAAACUUACGCUAAUACCGCAUACGACCUACGGGUGAAAUCAGGGGAUCUUCGCACCUUGCGCGACUGAAUGAGCCGAUGUCGGAUUAGCUAGUUGGCUGGGUAAAGGCCCACCAAGGCGACGAUCCGUAGCUGGUCUGAGAGGAUGAUCAGCCACACUGGAACUGAGACACGGUCCAGACUCCUACGGGAGGCAGCAGUGGGGAAUAUUGGACAAUGGGCGCAAGCCUGAUCCAGCCAUACCGCGUGGGUGAAGAAGGCCUUCGGGUUGUAAAGCCCUUUUGUUGGGAAAGAAAAGCAGCAGGUUAAUCCCCCGCUGUUCUGACGGUACCCAAAGAAUAAGCACCGGCUAACUUCGUG
rnacentral:rRNA from 1 species